CCUACGGGAGGCAGCAGUGAGGAAUAUUGGUCAAUGGGCGCGAGCCUGAACCAGCCAAGUAGCGUGAAGGAUGACUGCCCUAUGGGGUGUAAACUUCUUUUAUAGGGGAAUAAAGUGCAGUAGGUAUACUGCUUUGCAUGUACCUUAUGAAUAAGGAUCGGCUAACUCCGUGACAGCAGCCGAGGUAAUACGGAGGAUCCGAGCGUUAUCCGGAUUGCUUGGGUUUAAAGGGAGCGUAGGCGGUUUGGUAAGGCAGUGGUGAAAGUUUGCGGCUCAACCGUCAAAUUGCAGUUGAUACUGGCAUCCUUGAUUACAGUCGCGGUAGCCGGCCUUCGUGGUGUAGCGGUUACAUGCUUAGAUCUCAC
rnacentral:rRNA from 1 species